rnacentral:rRNA from 1 species
AAAGCCGGUCUCAGUUCGGAUUGGAGUCUGCAACCCGACUCCAUGAAGCUGGAUUCGCUAGUAAUCGCGCAUCAGCCAUGGCGCGGUGAAUACGUUCCCGGGCCUUGUACACACCGCCCGUCAAGCCAUGGGAGCCGGGAGUGCCUGAAGUGCGUGACCGCAAGGAGCGCCCUAAGGCAAGACCGGUGACUGGGGCUAAGUCGUAACAAGGUAUC